GACGAACGCUGGCGGCGUGCUUAACACAUGCCAGUCGAACGGAAAGGCCCCUUUGGGGGUCCUCGAGUGGCGAACGGGUGAGUAACACGUGAGUAACCUGCCCUUGACUUCGGGAUAACUUCAGGAAACUGGGGCUAAUACCGGAUAGGAAUCCUUGCUGCAUGGUGGGGGUUGGAAAGCUUCGGCGGUUUUGGAUGGACUCGCGGCUUAUCAGCUUGUUGGUGGGGUAGUGGCUUACCAAGGCUUUGACGAGUAGCCGGCCUGAGAGGGCGACCGGCCACAUUGGGACUGAGAUACGGCCCAGACUCCUACGGGAGGCAGCAGUGGGGAAUAUUGCACAAUGGGCGGAAGCCUGAUGCAGCAACGCCGCGUGCGGGAUGACGGCCUUCGGGUUGUAAACCGCUUUCAGCAGGGGCGAAGCUUGUGGUGACGGUACCUGCAGAAGAAGCACCGGCUAACUACGUG
rnacentral:rRNA from 1 species